UACGUAGGGGGCAAGCGUUGUCCGGAAUUAUUGGGCGUAAAGAGCGUGUAGGCGGUCCGGUAAGUCAGCUGUGAAAGUCAAGGGCUCAACCCUUGAAUGCCGGUUGAUACUGUCGGGCUAGAGUCCGGAAGAGGCGAGUGGAAUUCCCGGUGUAGCGGUGAAAUGCGCAGAUAUCGGGAAGAACACCGGUGGCGAAGGCGCUCUGCUAGGCCGCAACUGACACUGAGGGACGAAAGCUAGGGGAGCGAAUGGG
rnacentral:rRNA from 1 species